rnacentral:rRNA from 1 species
AGUGAACGCUGGCGGUAGGCCUAACACAUGCAAGUCGAACGGCAGCACAGUAAGAGCUUGCUCUUACGGGUGGCGAGUGGCGGACGGGUGAGGAAUACAUCGGAAUCUACUUUUUCGUGGGGGAUAACGUAGGGAAACUUACGCUAAUACCGCAUACGACCUACGGGUGAAAGCAGGGGAUCUUCGGACCUUGCGCGAUUGAAUGAGCCGAUGUCGGAUUAGCUAGUUGGCGGGGUAAAGGCCCACCAAGGCGACGAUCCGUAGCUGGUCUGAGAGGAUGAUCAGCCACACUGGAACUGAGACACGGUCCAGACUCCUACGGGAGGCAGCAGUGGGGAAUAUUGGACAAUGGGCGCAAGCCUGAUCCAGCCAUACCGCGUGGGUGAAGAAGGCCUUCGGGUUGUAAAGCCCUCUUGUUGGGAAAGAAAAGCAGCAGGUUAAUACCCCGCUGUUCUGACGGUACCCAAAGAAUAAGCACCGGCUAACUUCGU